GUACUCCCUUAGACAGGACCAAUACUCACAUUGGAACGAUACAGAGAAGAUUAGCAUGGCCUUUGUUCAAGGAUGACCUGCAGAUAUGUGUUUAUUGUUUAU